UAUGAGCUGGUUAAAUAUGGUUACAAUGGAUUAUCAUGAGCAAUUUUGACUAACUUAAAUUUCUACCAGCAAAGUCUGGCUAAAAUUAGCUACUUUAUAGCAUGCAGUCCCUAAAGUGCCAUGAGCUUGCUGCAUGGUUCCAGAAUACAAGUUGUAUUAUAGUUCCCAAACAUUUCAUUUAUGCUACCAGGAGUAACUCAGCACCACUUGAGAGGCGCUCCUAACUUACCAAAUGUGAUGGUGUUAAACAUCAAUUCAUGCAUAUGCAAAAUUUGAAUAGCAUCCAAAAGAAGGAAAAUUUCUUCAUUGAUCUAAUGGUGAAGAUUUAUAUUUCUUGCUCGCUGAGUAGGCUCAACUCCAAAGAAGGUAACUUUACAUAACAGAACCAAAGGAGGGGGGGUACAAUAGCAUCUUGUAUGUCAGGUUUACAAGCCAAAUAACAGGAAUUCACGGCUCCAGCAAAUAUCUGGUUAGACUAUUAAAGGGUUCUUUUGGACGACAGUCAGGCAGAUCAUUAGAUAGAAAUUUACAUGAGAAAGACUGACAAAAUAAAUGACCGAANNNNNNNNNNNNNNNNNNNNAUUUACAUGAGAAAGACUGACAAAAUAAAUGACCGAAGGCCUCUUUUUCUUUCUCUACUGCUGCUUCUCCCUAUUCUUCUCUACUUGAUUCUUCUUCCCAUCUCUCUUUAUCUUAGUCAUCUUCUUCUUUGUUGUGUUAAUUCUCUGAUUUUGAUGGCAUCUUUCUGCUAAUUACAAGUUCAGAAUCAGGUCUGGAGUUAUUAUGCUGUCAAAUCAUUUCUAUUAUUCAGAUACGAUUCUCAGUUUUGAAAUUGUUUUAUCCUAUCAAUUGAAAGGGCUUGAAGAAUGCUCAUUAUUCAGAUCCAAUUCAGAUAUGAAUUUAAACUGGAGAGACCUAUUCACAAGUAAUCUCUAAUUGACCAGAGAUUACAUCAGACGAAGCGCAAUAGACCAUGGAUUGUUCCUUUCAGGGAAAGACAACAGGCUUCCAAUAUUGCAUCCUUAAGAAAAGGAGCUCAUGGCAUAUCAAGAGUACAAUAAAGAUGAUAUGCUUGUUAAAAAAAUGAAACUAAUUAAUUUUUUAUAUAAUGAAAAUCAUAGCCGCAUAGACUUCUAUUUCAAAGACCAAAGGAGAAAUAAGUUCGAAAACACAUACUAUCCCCAUAUCAACAUGACAUUCCUAUCACCUUUAAGAUUAUCUAUGUGUGGUUGUACAAGCCAUUCUCUAUAUUCAGAGCUCAAGCACCAAAUGAUAUCGAAACACAAAACAAGGCUUAAUUCAAAAAUAUAGAAACCAUGC
rnacentral:lncRNA from 1 species